rnacentral:lncRNA from 1 species
AAAGUCAUUAUUUAACGUCAUCACUCAGCGAAGCCGUGUUUAAAAUCAAAUAGAAGAAAUUUAGCAGAAGUAUAAGCUCUUAUCAGAUUUCGUCUCAACUCCGCAAACUUCUGUGGAUGGAUGAAUUUACACAACUUAUUGAGGGGGAUGGAAUUCAAACAUUUCGAUCGAUAGGAAAAGGCUUCAAGGGAGUUGGGACGUGAAAAUUACAAUUCUCCUAAAUACCUUUUAAAGCAAAUAUACUUGGAAAAAUCAGAAAAAAAAAAAAUCAAAAACCUACUAAGUAAUAAUAGUGCUUUUUUCAUCAGUGUUUCGUAUUUUUUAUGAAAUUUUGCAUAUACUUAAGUUAUUUUAUAUAAUGUUAAAAAUUAAUAAUCUUAAAGAAAAUAAUCAGAUAAGGUCCCAAAAAUUAUAUCUAUAUCAAUGCCAAAAUAAACAAAUUAUUUAAUAAUAUAUAUUUUAUGCUUGUUAUUUAGUUUAUAUUAAAUUUUAAGCUUUAAAAUAGGUCGAUUUCAUAUUUGAUCUUAGGAGACUAAAGCUCACAUAAAAUACAACUCAAUGAAUAGAAAUGAACUUGUAAAAAUAAUAUCAUUUUUGUAUUGUUAAGUGAAUUUUAUGAGUCAUGUUACAUAUACAAUUUGCAAUGAGAAAAAGUAUGUAGAUAAUAAUUAAUUAAUGUAUGGUGAUUCUUCUACUAUAUCGUUUUUAGAUUCACGCCUUCUCUUCUUUAUUGUAAAUAA